GCAUGGAAUAUGGUCAGAAACUGGUUUACCCAAAGCUUUCACCAUUGUAUUUGGGUAUGAAAUCGUCCAAUUAGUGAAGGUAAGAAACCAGUCUAAUUGUUCCAGAAGGGGAUAACUUUGCAUGUUGCUCCAUGUAUACGAUCUAGCUUUAAUUGGGAGUUCAAUGAGUCCUUUCGUCCGGAUGAAAUCAUUAAAUGUGAUCAUAUCAUUAAAGUUGCCACCUGAUUUAUUACGAUUAAUUGGGCUUCGGAUAUAGUUAAAGGGAAACACUUUCUAUCUAUAGUCUGAUAGAUGUCCAGCCCCAGACCAAUCCAAUGCCGUCGAUUCAAGGAAAUCUGACGCCUCACAAAUUGUGUUCCUUACGAAAAAAAAUCGUUGGCAGGAACUAAUUACCCGCAGCCCCACACGUAAAUCUCUCCCCCUAAUCUCUCCCGAUUCCAGUCCCGGCCCGUCUCCUCCACCUCCGCUCAGAUCCCCUUCACCCCUCACCACGCACGCAGCUUCCUCCAGCUCUCCACGUGGUCUCCACCGCCUGCGGUGGGCUCUGACGGCCUGACGGCGUUCGCGCUUCGCCUGGCAAAAAAGCUGCCUGCGGGCGACGGCGUCGUUGCCUUCUCGCCGUUGUCAAUCUACACGACGGCGAGCCCGCCCUGGUGGUCACCAGAGCACGCGGCAAAACCCUGGAAGAGCUCUUGGCCCUGCUUGGCACCUCGUCCCCCGACGAGGUCGCCGGGUUCGUGAGGGGCCUCGCCUCUGAUCCAUCCAGCUCCGGCGGGCCGCACAUCACCUACGCCUGCGGAGGGUUACACAAGGAGAAGAUGGAACUCACGCCAGCCUACCUGCACAACGCCGCAGUCCUAUAAGGCCGAGAUACGUACAAUCGACUUUGACGAGGUGAUCAAACAAUCUGUGAGUUCGGAUCGGCGCCACCCUUGAUGACGUGGUGGCCAUAGCCUCAAGCUGUAUGUGUGACAUUUACGGUGGUGUGGAAGUCACAAAGGAGCAUGUGGCUGUGCCAUGCCCAGCGAGGAGAUCGUCGGUGGAUAAGAUUAGAGGCUGGUGACAAAUUUCCCGGAGAAGAGAAAAUGUGCUAGUAUAGUAGUAGCAUCUCGCUCAAGUUUAAGAAAAAAAAUGAUUUCUUUGGACGCAAAUUAUAUUUUCUUCGGAAGCAGAUUCUACUAUAUCAAGAAGCAACGUCUGAUUGACGGAAACAUUCUUUUUUCUGCUGGGACCAAUUCCAUGUUACACUUGAAACAAUUUGUUGGUCACUGUAUUGUCUAUGCAUAGCAAACAAAAUAUACUAAUAUAAAUUUUCACUAGAUUGAAGCAA